GUAGGGUGCAAGCGUUAAUCGGAAUUACUGGGCGUAAAGCGAGCGCAGACGGUUAUUUAAGUCAGGUGUGAAAUCCCCGAGCUCAACUUGGGAAUGGCGCUUGAAACUGGGUAACUAGAGUGUGUCAGAGGGGGGUAGAAUUCCACGUGUAGCAGUGAAAUGCGUAGAGAUGUGGAGGAAUACCGAUGGCGAAGGCAGCCCCCUGGGAUAACACUGACGUUCAUGCUCGAAAGCGUGGGUAGCAAAC
rnacentral:rRNA from 1 species